GUGGGCUAACUCAACGUUAUCUUCCUGUUCAUGUUCCUUUUCUAAAGAAAUGAUCAGAGUUUAUACCGGAGGACACUUAAGGGGAGUUAUUACCUUUUUAACCGUUCAUGAAAGCAGUUAACAGAGGCCAUCAAUCAUACAUUUCAAAAUGUAGCAGUUAUGUAUUGCAAUUAAUAUGGUUUCAAACAUGAUUACCAUGAUAAAUCUUCUAUAUAACACCAGAACGAUUCUUAUCAUCUAGGUAGUUUUAAUAUUGAAUGCUGCUAUGAAUAUUGUAUUCUACUUAAAGCUAGAGCAGCCAGAUUCUAAAGGUACCCAACUGAAGAAAACACAGCCCUCCCUUCAGGCCUCAUCCGAAGCCACGCCCCCAAAACACAGACUAGCUCGCUAGAUGGUCUGCCUAGACCAGGCCCAGGCCUAGAGCAGGCCCAGGCCUAGCCUUGUGGAAGAUUGCGGCCACGCAUAACAAUGAGUGCAGGGUUAGAGUGCCUGCAGGUAGAGAGACAGACAGACAGGUAGCCAGGUAGGUAGGUAGGGAGACAGACAGGUAAACUGGGUAGGUAGGGAGACAGACAGGUUAACUGGGUAGGUAGGGAGACAGACAGGUUAACUGAGAAGGUAAGGAUGCAGACAGGUAAACUGGGAAGGUAGGGAGACAGACAGGUUAAGUGGGUAGGUAGGGAGACAGACAGGUUAACUGGGUAGGUAGGGAGACAGACAGGUUAACUGGGUAGGUAGGGAGACAGACAGGUUAACUGGGUAGGUAGGGAGACAGACAGGUUAACUGAGAAGGUAGGGAGGCAGACAGGUUAACUGGGUAGGUGGGGAGCCUUCUAAUAAUUUCAAUCAGGCAGAAUAAAUUAUUUGACUGGCUGAUUACCGGCCUGCGACAGCCAAAGAUCCGUUUUUUUUGUCAGAGCAUUAGAAUUAUUGAUUGCCGUCUGGAUGUUAAUAGAGAAUCAACAAACAUAACUUCUCAAAUAUAUUGCCUACCCCAGCGUUAACAUCCCAGAAGCUGUUAAAUAAUAAAGAUCAACUUAUCGUGAUCAUGCAGCAAAGGCGAAGCCAUCCAUCGUUUCCUGCUCUAGCGUGUCAUCACUCAAUCCCCCAGACUUCACCUGAAAGACUCUCCUCACUCUUUCUGCCAAGCUAGCAAAGAUAAAGAAAGUAAAAAGCAUUGAUCCGACUCUCU
ensembl:lncRNA